rnacentral:rRNA from 1 species
GACGAACGCUGGCGGCGUGCUUAACACAUGCAAGUCGAACGAAGAGCGACGGAAGCUUGCUUCUAUCAAUCUUAGUGGCGAACGGGUGAGUAACGCGUAAUCAACCUGCCCUUCAGAGGGGGACAACAGUUGGAAACGACUGCUAAUACCGCAUACGAUCUAAUCUCGGCAUCGAGGAUAGAUGAAAGGUGGCCUCUACAUGUAAGCUAUCACUGAAGGAGGGGAUUGCGUCUGAUUAGCUAGUUGGAGGGGUAACGGCCCACCAAGGCGAUGAUCAGUAGCCGGUCUGAGAGGAUGAACGGCCACAUUGGGACUGAGACACGGCCCAGACUCCUACGGGAGGCAGCAGUGGGGAAUCUUCCGCAAUGGACGAAAGUCUGACGGAGCAACGCCGCGUGAGUGAUGACGGCCUUCGGGUUGUAAAGCUCUGUUAAUCGGGACGAAAGGCCUUCUUGCAAAUAGUGAGAAGGAU